AGUGGAUGGGGAGCAACCUAGUUGUGCGUGUGUAAAGGUAGUGCCAAGAAAAGCGAUGAUCAUGUUGAAAAUCAAUUCCCGGUACCCGAAACCGACACAGGUGGGCAAGUAGAGAAUACUAAGGGGCGCGAGGUAACUCUCUCCAAGGAACUCGGCAAAAUGACCCCGUAACUUAGGGAGAAGGGGUGCCACCGAGAGGUGGUCGCAGUGAAGAGGCCCAGGCGACUGUUUAGCAAAAACAUAGGUCUCUGCAAACUCGAAAGAGGAGGUAUAGGGGCUGACGCCUGCCCAGUGCCGGAAGGUUAAAGAUGUUGGUCAGUUUUAGGAUGAAGCUAGCGACUGAAGCCCCGGUGAACGGCGGCCGUAACUAUAACGGUCCUAAGGUAGCGAAAUUCCUUGUCGGGUAAGUUCCGACCCGCACGAAAGGCGUAACGAUCUGGGCGCUGUCUCGGAGAGAGGCUCGGCGAAAUAGGAUUGUCUGUGAAGAUACGGACUACCUGCAUUUGGACAGAAAGACCCUAUGAAGCUUUACUAUAGCUUGGAAUUGUGUUCGGGCUUCCUGUGCGCAGGAUAGGUGGGAGGCGUAGAAGGUAUUCUUGUGGGGAUACUGGAGCCAACGGUGAGAUACCACUCUCAGGAGGCUAGAAUUCUAACUUAAUUAAGGACAGUUUCAGGUGGGUAGUUUGACUGGGGCGGUCGCCUCCAAAAAGGUAACGGAGGCGUACAAAGGUUCCCUCAGACUGGUUGGAAAUCAGUCGAAGAGUGCAAAGGCAGAAGGGAGCUUGACUGCGAGAAGUACAGUUCGAGCAGGGUGGAAACACGGUCUUAGUGAUCCGACGGUGCUGUGUGGAUGGGCCGUCGCUCAACGGAUAAAAGUUACUCUAGGAUAACAGGCUGAUCUCCCCCAAGAGUUCACAUCGACGGGGAGGUUUGGCACCUCGAUGUCGGCUCAUCGCAACCUGGGGCGGAAGUACGUCCCAAGGGUUGGGCUGUUCGCCCAUUAAAGCGGUACGUGAGCUGGGUUCAGAACGUCGUGAGACAGUUCGGUCCAUAUCCGAUGUAGGCGUGAGAAUAUUGAGAGGAGCCUUCCUUAGUACGAGAGGACCGGGAAGGACGCACCGCUGGUGUACCUGUUAUGAUGCCAAUUGUAAACGCAGGGUAGCCAAGUGCGGAGAGGAUAACCGCUGAAAGCAUCUAAGUGGGAAGCCCACCUCAUGAUGAGUAUUCUGGUGUAAGGUCACGGGAAGACGACCCGUAAAUAGGCACGAGGUGGAAGUGCAGAGAUGUAUGAAGCCGAAGUGUACUAAUAGACCGUCGGCUUGACC
rnacentral:rRNA from 1 species